UACGUAGGGUGCGAGCGUUUGUCCGGAAUUAUUGGGCGUAAAGAGCUCGUAGGCGGUCUGUCGCGUCUGCUGUGAAAACCCGAGGCUCAACCUCGGGCCUGCAGUGGGUACGGGCAGACUAGAGUGCGGUAGGGGAGACUGGAAUUCCUGGUGUAGCGGUGAAAUGCGCAGAUAUCAGGAGGAACACCGGUGGCGAAGGCGGGGUCUCUGGGCAGUAACUGACGCUGGAGGAGCGAAAAGCGUGGGGGAGCGAACAGG
rnacentral:rRNA from 1 species